ACUCCUACGGGAGGCAGCAGUAGGGAAUUUUUCGCAAUGGACGAAAGUCUGACGGAGCAAUGCCGCGUGAACGAUGAAGGUCUUCGGAUCGUAAAGUUCUGUUGUAAGGGAAGAACACCAAGGAUAGGAAAUGAUCUUGGCUGACGGUACCUGCCA
rnacentral:rRNA from 1 species